rnacentral:lncRNA from 1 species
GGCAACUAACAAGACCAUGGUUUUUAGAUGCAGAGAUCUACUAUCCAUGCUAAGGUAUCGAGUUCUGAACUCGUACUUGAUAUACAUAGAAUGUAUAGUGUAGAUAUGAUCUGCAGAUGCUUGUUUUGAUGUGAUCAUGCUUACUGAUUUUAUUUUUUAGAUCAUAUACAUGCAUCAUAACAUGUUAUAGAUCCUAAGA